GAUGAACGCUGGCGGCGUGCCUAAUACAUGCAAGUCGAGCGGACAGACCUGCUUUUUGCUCCUCAGACGUUAUACUCGGAUGGGUAAGUAACACGUAACUAACCUAUCUUUAAGACUGAGAUUACUUCUGAACACGGGAGCCUAUACCGGAUAAUCUAUUGAACUGCAUGGUUCAGUCGUGAAAGAAGGAUUUGCUGUCACUUAUAGGUGGAUACGCGCCGCAUUAGCUAGUUGGUAAGGUGACGGCUUACCAAGGCAACGGUGCGUAGCCGACCUGGGAGGGUGAUCGGCCACGGUGAAACUGGGACACGGUCCAGACUCCUACGGGAGGCAGCGGUAGGGAAUCGUCCGCAAGGGGCGAAGGCCUGACGGAGCAACGCCGCGGGAGUGAGGAAGGUCUUCGGAUCGUAAAACUCUGUUAUUAGGGAAGAACAAAUGUGUAAGUAACUAUGCACGUCUUGACGGUACCGAAACAGAAAGCCACGGCUAACUACGUG
rnacentral:rRNA from 1 species